UGGGGGAUAUUGCACGAUGGGCGAAAGCCUGAUGCAGCGACGCCGCGUGGGGGAUGAAGGCCUUCGGGUUGUAAACUUCUUUUGCUCUGAACAAGGCGCACCAUGGGGUGUGUUGAGUGUAGGGGUUGAUUAGCGCCGGCUAACUACGUGCCAGCAGCCGCGGUAAUACGUAGGGCGCGAGCGUUGUCCGGAAUUAUUGGGCGUAAAGGGCUUGUAGGUGGCUGGUUGCGUCUGUCGUGAAAGCUCAUGGCUUAACUGUGGGUUUGCGGUGGGUACGGGCUGGCUUGAGUGCAGUAGGGGAGGCUGGAAUUCCUGGUGUAGCGGUGGAAUGCGCAGAUAUCAGGAGGAAUACCGGUGGCGAAGGCGGGUCUCUGGGCUGUUACUGACACUGAGGAGCGAAAGCAUGGGGAGCGAACAGG
rnacentral:rRNA from 1 species